CAAAAAAAAGAAACAAAAGAAAACAAAACAACCCUUCCCAAAAGAAACCAGCACCUUGAAGCAGACCAGUGACUGGAUGCAACAAACAUAUGCAUAUAAAGCUGUUUCGGCAAAAAAGUAUACUGUGUGACAUACUCCAGCUUCCAAUGCCACCAUAAUGAACAAAUAUACGAUGGAGAGGUAGAAAAGAUGGAGAAACAGAGCAAUGCAUGAGUGGUAGAGAGAAGUAGAGAUGCAGCAGCUGUGGCAGGUGUGAGAGAAGGCUGCAGCUGAUGGAGGAAUAGGUCGUUCCCAAUAGGGUUGAAGGGUGAUUUGCAGCAGCCUGGAGCAUGUGUAGACCCAGACUCUGAACAAGCUGCCUGGCUGCACAAUCUCCCUGGCUCUGAGCAAUAACAGGAUGCUCUAGAUGAAGAAUGGUUCAUUUGCUGGAUUGGAUCUCCUCAACCACCCCCCAUGGUCUGUACGUCCUCCAGAGGCCAUGCUGGUCUGUGGCCUGUGCUUUGGCAGAGGACCCUGUUGUACUGCCACCAGAGACCAAGCGGAGGUCCUCAGCACACACUGAUGCUGGAGACCACAUGGAUGUUUAUGUUGUUGCCAGGAACCAUGCAGAAGGCCAGGACCCAUGCUCCUGCAGACACUAGAGAGCAAGGAAGUUACUCUGGCAGAGGUAUCAAUGACUGCAGAUGCACAGUUGAGAAAGAAACAAAGGCUUCUUCGACAAUCCUUACUUCCACCCCACCCCCCAAAAAAGUAACAGCCUGAAAAGGAAGUCAUCAAAGAGAACUCCUAAAAAUUGUGGUACAGAUGCUUAAAUGUAGCUCUCCACAAUUUAUGGCUUCUGGUGGAGGUGCAGGUGGAGAAGGACUCAGUUUUCUUCAGGGGAUGGCCACUGGGAGUUGGAGCUGCUCCAGAACAUUGAUGUGCCGUGGCGUGCAUGUAGAAGUCAGAGGACAGCUUGCAGAAUUUGGUGCUCUACUUCUACCAAGUGGGUCCAGCCCCUGGAAGGAACUCGAGUCAUCAGGCUUGGAGGUGCCUGUUGUUUUCUAAUGAAAGAGAGCAAGAAAGAAUGUGGAUUUGGGGUUUGUCUUAACUGGGGUGAUAGGGGAAUGAAGAAAUGACAAACACACAGACAGAGAAGCUGGGAUUGGAUUGGCCAUACACUUUGAUGGAGCCACACUAAC
rnacentral:lncRNA from 1 species